AUCUUAGCGGCGGACGGGUGAGUAACGCGUGAGAAACCUGCCUUUCACAAAGGGAUAGCCUCGGGAAACUGGGAUUAAUACCUUAUGAAACUUAUCCCUCGCAUGAGAGAUAAGUCAAAGCGAAUAAGCGGUGAAAGAUGGUCUCGCGUCCUAUUAGCUAGUUGGUGAGGUAACGGCUCACCAAGGCUUCGAUAGGUAGCCGGCCUGAGAGGGUGAACGGCCACACUGGAACUGAGACACGGUCCAGACUCCUACGGGAGGCAGCAGUGGGGAAUAUUGCACAAUGGAGGAAACUCUGAUGCAGCGACGCCGCGUGAAUGAUGAAGGCCUUCGGGUUGUAAAGUUCUGUCCUUGGGGAAGAUAAUGACGGUACCCAAGGAGGAAGCCCCGGCUAACUACGUGCCAGCAGCCGCGGUAAUACGUAGGGGGCGAGCGUUGUCCGGAAUUAUUGGGCGUAAAGGGUUCGCAGGCGGUCUGAUAAGUCAGAUGUGAAAGGCGUAGGCUCAACCUACGUAAGCAUUUGAAACUGUCAGACUUGAGUUAAGGAGAGGAAAGUGGAAUUCCUAGUGUAGCGGUGAAAUGCGUAGAUAUUAGGAGGAAUACCAGUGGCGAAGGCGACUUUCUGGACUUAUACUGACGCUGAGGAACGAAAGCGUGGGGAGCAAACAGGAUUAGAUACCCUGGUAGUCCACGCCGUAAACGAUGAGUGCUAGGUGUUGGGGGUCAAACCUCGGUGCCGCAGCUAACGCAUUAA
rnacentral:rRNA from 1 species